rnacentral:rRNA from 1 species
UACCAGCACCCCGAGUGGUCGGGACGAUUAUUGGGCCUAAAGCAUCCGUAGCCGGUUCUGCAAGUCUUCCGUUAAAUCCACCUGCUCAACAGAUGGGCUGCGGAGGAUACUACAGGGCUAGGAGGCGGGAGAGGCAAGCGGUACUCAGUGGGUAGGGGUAAAAUCCUCUGAUCCACUGAAGACCACCAGUGGCGAAGGACGGCUUGCCAGAACGCGCUCGACGGUGAGGGAUGAAAGCUGGGGGAGCAAACCGG